CUAGUCCAACGCUCUAGGCUACCCUGCCGACCCAGAAUGAUUUGAUCCAUGACUGAAAUAGACCAUAUCUUCCCAUGUAAGAUGGGAAGACCGGAAAAACCCAGUGACAACACUCGGGUCUGGCCCUGUAUUUUCUAGAAAAUGUAGCUCAUCCACCAUGGCAGAAGAGGAAGAUUCAGACUGUCGAUUGGGAAAACAAGAACAGACGAUGAAAGUUGAGUGUUGAGGGACCACUUGAAUUUUUAGAUGCAUCAACAUUUUGACUUUGUCCUUUUCCCAUGUUUUAGACAUGAGGCGUGACAUGCAGAACAGUCUCACCCCACAAGAAGCUGUGCAUGAUUAAUUCCGCCCUCAGCAAGGAGACCUGAGGGUACUCUCACUCUGGGGGUACAGGCAGGGGUGACUGGGUCCUUAAGCAAGUAAGACACGGGUACUGCCAGGAGGAGGAGUCUGUCAGAGGUUGUCACGCUGGAUGGGGAUGAGAAGAAGCAGACACAAAUAGGUGUUGUCAGCCACAAAACUUUAAAAAAGAAGAAGAAGCCUAUGAGCAGAGAACACUUGACAAACAUUUGUCUUGAAGUAGAAUUACAGAAAUACAGAAAUCAUUGUGGUGUCAAAACUAAACUUGAAGCUGCUUCAUUGGGCAUGUUGUUUAUAUGGAUUAAACAUAUGUUUGAGUUGAUAAAUA